UACAGAGGGGCCAAGCGUUGUUCGGAAUUACUGGGCGUAAAGGGCGCGUAGGCGGCCUUCUAAGUCAGACGUGAAAUCCCUCGGCUCAACCGGGGAACUGCGUCUGGGACUGGAAGGCUUGAAUCCGGGAGAGGGAGGUGGAAUUCCAGGUGUAGCGGUGAAAUGCGUAGAUAUCUGGAGGAACACCGGUGGCGAAGGCGGCAUCCUGGACCGGUAUUGACGCUGAGGCGCGAAAGCCAGGGGAGCAAACGGG
rnacentral:misc_RNA from 1 species